CCCACCCCAUGCUGCUCCUGCUUCUUUUGGAGGCCAUAGCAGGUUGGCUUUUCUGAAUAGCAAAGUGCUAUGAGGGUGGAUGGGUGGGAGGAUGCAAAACCAAGUGGGGAAAGCCACUAAGCUCAAUGCCAGUGAAGGUAGCCUUUCUGAAGGCUCUUCCAUGGAAGAAUAACAAUUUAAACAGGAAGAUAAAGAUCUUGGGAUCCUCAGUAGCAGCAAGAUGCCAUCCAAGGAGAGUUAUGCUGCAACUCUGUUCUCAGCAUGCUCCGAGGUUCCAACUGAGGGGCGGUUGAGGUGGUCAGCAAGUGGUACAGAAAGGAAGUUUUUAGAGUGUCUUAGGAGUGCCAUUCCAUCACAAAGUCAGCCUGCUGAAAGGAGGCCACUGGCCACCACCGCUGACAGCUGCAGGUUUGCUGGAGGCAGGAGGCAGCUGUGGGAACCAAUGCUCCUAUGCCACCCAGAGCAUCCACUGCCAGGCCCCUGGUGGAGUGAGUGGGAGUCUUCUAGAAACCAGCCUUUUUCUUCUGAGAAGUGCUUCAAGGAGAACUAGCCCCUCCAGAGUUCCUCCACACAGCAACAGGGCCAACUGAGCUCCGAUUGGCUGAAUGCAUGUAUACGCAAAUAAGGGGAUCUGAUGCUCUUUUCUGGCUUCCGUGGACACUGCAUACACGUGAUGUAGCCGUGAAAGCCCAGCAAACAGAUUCAACCUUCCAAGGCCUUCCGAGUGCUGGCAGAUGGCCCAGGCUGGGCUGAAUACAGGCUCAAGCCUCACUGUACCAAAGGACUCAGGAAGACUCCCCUCUCAGUUUGUAAUGAGCAAAUGCCAUUCCUUCUUCCUGCCCAAGCCUAUAGCAACUUUGAUAAUGCCACUGUCUCAUCUACUACGGUUCAAACUCUGGAACUCCUAGCACAUAGGUCACAUGAUAUGGAAACUCUCCUAAACCUCUAAGAACAAGAAAUUGCCUUUGUCCCCUGAAUCAAAGGCAGUGUCUCCUCGGGGUCAGCCCUACUACCCAUGGCUGGUGCAGUAACUCCUGACUGACCUCACACUCCUACAGACAGUUUCUCUCAGCAUCUUUCAGAAUCUAUGUCCUGUUUUCUGAAAAUUAUCUAACAGUAGGCACAUCAGAGGCAUUCUUCCAAACUGUCAGCCCACGAUAGGACUUGGCUAGCAAAUAUAUACUGUUGGUGCUCAUGCCAGAGAACCUGAGUUCAAUCCUUGGAACUUACACAAAGGUGGAGGGAAAAACUUGUCUGACCAGAGCUGACUUCUGAUCUUCAUAUUCAUACUGGCAUGCUGCUUCGUGUGUGCCCUAAAACAAAACAACAAAAAAUGUUGCUGGUUCCCUUCACGUGACCCUGUGGCCCCUGGGUUCCCAGCUGCCAUGUUAGUUCCUGGCUGCUCCUCUGGUCAGCUGCUUCUGUUUGGUUGAUGAAGACGGCUUGGCCAACAGAGGCCCAUUGUCUCGUCUUCUGGCCUUCUGGCCUCCAUUGUUGGGGCUUCCUCCCAGGCUCGGCAUAUAGACAGACCCAGCUGUCGGUCAGCUCCCAGGAUCAGAGUGUAAGGGGAAUGGAUACAGGAGAAAUGUUCAGAUAUUCACGACUGGACCCUAAAAAUAGGAUCACCAGACUUGUUCUACAAUAGGGAAACAGGUUCAGGGCAUUUUAUGGUAAGUGGGGGAGUGCUUAUACCACGGUGAAAUAGCCACAGAUGGUACAGGAAUGGAGGGCUGCACCCUAGGAGAGAACAUAUAUAGAGGGGGCUGAUAGGCCCAGAAC